UUUUAUCAAAUUCUUUUGGUUUAAUUUUCUUGCGUGGUGUGGUCGGUGCUUGGGAGCAAUUGCGCGGUGGGGAAAAACCGCCGGAAGCAAAUGAACGACCAUCUCGCCGUCUUUCGUUCUCUCAUGCCGUCAAGCGAGCGGCGAGCAGACGUCCAUAAUCGGCGGCGUGGUGGAUUAAAUCCAGGAACUGCAGCAAAUCUUGCGAGGCCAAGAAGCAGCGCAUUCGGAAGCCGUGGUCAUAAGCCCCAGGCAGGGCCUAAUUUGUUUGUAGGUACAGCUUUUGGGGGGAGCGGCCGGAUGAGCAAACUACCGAAAACAAAACAGGGAGUUUUUCGUACUUCUCUCUUUUAUAUUUAUGCAUUGCAUUUAUUUUAUCAUAUUGCAUAUAGAGUUAGGAUUAUUUUUACGUCCCGGGACUUGCAUGCAUUAUUAAUUAAUAUAAUUGGAUGUAAUUAUUUUGAUAGCACAAAUAGAAAAUCCAACCAAUAAAUUGGAUUAUUUUAUCAUAUUGCAUAUAGAGUUAGGAUUAUUUUUAUAUCGCGGGAUUUGCAUGCAUUAUUAAUUAAUAUAAUUGAAUGUAAUUAUUUUGAAGGCACAAAUAGAAAAUCCAACCAAUAAAUUGCU